CUGCUGCCUUCCGUAGGAGUCUGGUCCGUGUCUCAGUACCAGUGUGGGGGACCUUCCUCUCAGAACCCCUACGCAUCGUCGGUUAGGUGGGCCGUUACCCCGCCUACUGCCUAAUGCGCCGCAUGCCCAUCCCUGUCCGGCCGAAGCCUUUCCUGCCCGG
rnacentral:rRNA from 1 species